GAUGCGACCUCAGCUCAGGCGGGGCCACCCGCUGAGUUUAAGCAUAUCAAUAAGCGGAGRAAAAGAA
rnacentral:rRNA from 1 species